rnacentral:rRNA from 1 species
GAUGAACGCUGGCGGCGUGCUUAACACAUGCAAGUCGAACGGUGAAGCAGGAGCUUGCUCCUGUGGAUCAGUGGCGAACGGGUGAGUAACACGUGAGCAAUCUGCCCUGGACUCUGGGAUAAGCGUUGGAAACGACGUCUAAUACCGGAUACGAGGCGUGGGGGCAUCCCCAACGCCUGGAAAGAACUUCGGUCCAGGAUGAGCUCGCGGCCUAUCAGGUAGUUGGUGAGGUAACGGCUCACCAAGCCGACGACGGGUAGCCGGCCUGAGAGGUUGACCGGCCACACUGGGACUGAGGCACGGCCCAGACUCCUACGGGAGGCAGCAGUGGGGAAUAUUGCACAAUGGGCGCAAGCCUGAUGCAGCAACGCCGCGUGAGGGACGACGGCCUUCGGGUUGUAAACCUCUUUUAGCAGGGAAGAAGCGAAAGUGACGGUACCUGCAGAAAAAGCACCGGCUAACUACGUGCCAGCCGCCGCCGUAAAAC